UAUGCAUGUUGCAUGAAACCUAGGAUAAUAAAAUUUAAAAUUUCUAAUCUUGUACCUUUUUGGGCUCUAAGGUGCAUUUUUCUUUCAAUUGGUAUCAGAGCCACCCUAAUUUACCAUUAGGAACAAGUUAUCAUGUUGUAUGAUGUUUGGGACAAUUAUAUGUUGCAUGAGAUGCAAUUGAAAAUAAGAAAAUUCAAAGGCAAAAUAGUUAGAAAUGGUUCGGCCCAUGGUGGUAAUCAUGGGGAAACCAUUUGGCCAAAAUUAACUUGGCCAAAUAAUUUUGUUUUGUGUAUUUACUUGUUUUGUGGUGUUUAACAUGUAUGAAAUGCAGUUUGGAA
rnacentral:misc_RNA from 1 species